rnacentral:rRNA from 1 species
AGUGAACGCUGGCGGCAGGCCUAACACAUGCAAGUCGAGCGGCAGCGUGGGGGCAACCCUGGCGGCGAGCGGCGGACGGGUGAGGAAUUCGUCGGAAUCUGCCUUUUUGUGGGGGAUAACGUAGGGAAACUUACGCUAAUACCGCAUACGUCCUACGGGAGAAAGUGGGGGACCGCAAGGCCUCACGCACAAAGAUGAGCCGACGACCGAUUAGCUAGUUGGUGGGGUAAAGGCCCACCAAGGCGACGAUCGGUAGCUGGUCUGAGAGGAUGAUCAGCCACACGGGGACUGGAACACGGCCCAGACUCCUACGGGAGGCAGCAGUGGGGAAUAUUGGACAAUGGGCGCAAGCCUGAUCCAGCCAGGCCGCGUGUGUGAAGAAGGCCUUCGGGUUGUAAAGCACUUUUGUCCGGAAAGAAAUCCCUGGAGCUAAGACCUUCGGGGGAUGACGGUACCGGAAGAAUAAGCACCGGCUAACUUCGUG